rnacentral:rRNA from 1 species
GACGAACGCUGGCGGCGUGCCUAAUACAUGCAAGUAGAACGCUGAAGGAGGAGCUUGCUCUUCUGGAUGAGUUGCGAACGGGUGAGUAACGCGUAGGUAACCUGCCUGGUAGCGGGGGAUAACUAUUGGAAACGAUAGCUAAUACCGCAUAAGAGUAGAUGUUGCAUGACAUUUACUUAAAAGGUGCAAUUGCAUCACUACCAGAUGGACCUGCGUUGUAUUAGCUAGUUGGUGGGGUAACGGCUUACCAAGGCGACGAUACAUAGCCGACCUGAGAGGGGGAUCGGCCACACUGGGACUGAGACACGGCCCAGACUCCUACGGGAGGCAGCAGUAGGGAAUCUGCGGCAAGGGACGGAAGUCUGACCGAGCAACGCCGCGGGAGGGAAGAAGGUUUUCGGAUCGGAAAGCUCGGUUGUAAGAGAAGAACGAGUGUGAGAGUGGAAAGUUCACACUGUGACGGUAUCUUACCAGAAAGGGACGGCUAACUACGUG